rnacentral:rRNA from 1 species
UACGGAGGGUGCAAACGUUGCUCGGAAUCAUUGGGCGUAAAGCGCACGUAGGUGGCCUGUUAAGUCGGGUGUGAAAUCCCUGGGCUCAACCCAGGAAGUGCACUCGAAACUGGCGGGCUUGAGUACUGAAGAGGGUCGCGGAAUUCCCGGUGUAGAGGUGAAAUUCGUAGAUAUCGGGAGGAACACCAGUGGCGAAGGCGGCGACCUGGGCAGAUACUGACACUGAGGUGCGAAAGCGUGGGGAGCGAUCCGG